GACGAACGCUGGCGGCGUGCCUAAUACAUGCAAGUAGAACGCUGAAGGAGGAGCUUGCUUCUCCGGAUGAGUUGCGAACGGGUGAGUAACGCGUAGGUAACCUGCCUGGUAGCGGGGGAUAACUAUUGGAAACGAUAGCUAAUACCGCAUAACAGUAGAUGUUGCAUGACAUUUGCUUAAAAGGUGCAAUUGCAUCACUACCAGAUGGACCUGCGUUGUAUUAGCUAGUUGGUGAGGUAACGGCUCACCAAGGCGACGAUACAUAGCCGACCUGAGAGGGUGAUCGGCCACACUGGGACUGAGACACGGCCCAGACUCCUACGGGAGGCAGCAGUAGGGAAUCUUCGGCAAUGGACGGAAGUCUGACCGAGCAACGCCGCGUGAGUGAAGAAGGUUUUCGGAUCGUAAAGCUCUGUUGUAAGAGAAGAACGAGUGUGAGAGUGGAAAGUUCACACUGUGACGGGAUCUUACCAGAAAGGGACGGCUAACUACGUG
rnacentral:rRNA from 1 species